GAUGAACGCUGGCGGCGUGCCUAAUACAUGCAAGUCGAGCGAACAGACGAGGAGCUUGCUCCUCUGACGUUAGCGGCGGACGGGUGAGUAACACGUGGAUAACCUACCUAUAAGACUGGGAUAACUUCGGGAAACCGGAGCUAAUACCGGAUAAUAUGUUGAAUCGCAUGGUUCAACAGUGAAAGACGGUCUUGCUGUCACUUAUAGAUGGAUCCGCGCCGCAUUAGCUAGUUGGUAAGGUAACGGCUUACCAAGGCAACGAUGCGUAGCCGACCUGAGAGGGUGAUCGGCCACACUGGAACUGAGACACGGUCCAGACUCCUACGGGAGGCAGCAGUAGGGAAUCUUCCGCAAUGGGCGAAAGCCUGACGGAGCAACGCCGCGUGAGUGAAGAAGGUCUUCGGAUCGUAAAACUCUGUUAUUAGGGAUGAACAAAUGUGUAAGUAACUAUGCACGUCUUGACGGUACCUAAUCAGAAAGCCACGGCUAACUACGUG
rnacentral:rRNA from 1 species